CAUCUGAUGAAGCGAAUUCAGAGAGGC
rnacentral:piRNA from 1 species